AUACGUAGGGUGCAAGCGUUAAUCGGAAUUACUGGGCGUAAAGCGUGCGCAGGCGGUUCGGAAAGAAGGAUGUGAAAUCCCAGGGCUCAACCUUGGAACUGCAUUCUUAACUACCGAACUAGAGUAUGUCAGAGGGGGGUAGAAUUCCGCGUGUAGCAGUGAAAUGCGUAGAUAUGCGGAGGAAUACCGAUGGCGAAGGCAGCACCCUGGGAUAAUACUGACGCUAAUGCACGAAAGCGGGGGUAGCAAACAGGAUUAGAUACCCUGGUAGUCCACGCCCUAACCGAUGUCAACUAGCUGUUGGGCCGUUCGGGGCUUAGUAGCGUAGCUAACGCGUGAAGUUGACCGCCUGGGGAGUACGGUCGCAAGAUUAAAACUCAAAUGAAUUGACGGGG
rnacentral:rRNA from 1 species